CUUAGUGGCGAACGGGUGAGUAACGCGUGAGCAUCUGCCUCGGAGUGGGGGACAACAGUUGGAAACGACUGCUAAUACCGCAUAAUGGGGCAUCCCCAAAGCUUUAGUGCUCUGAGAUGAGCUCGCGUCUGAUUAGAUAGUUGGUGGGGUAACGGCCUACCAAGUCGACGAUCAGUAGCCGGACUGAGAGGUUGAACGGCCACAUUGGGACUGAGAUACGGCCCAGACUCCUACGGGAGGCAGCAGUGGGGAAUAUUGCACAAUGGGCGAAAGCCUGAUGCAGCGACGCCGCGUGAGUGAAGAAGUAUUUCGGUAUGUAAAGCUCUAUCACCAGGGAAGAAAAUGACGGUACCUGACUAACAAGCCCCGGCUAACUACGUGCCAGCAGCCGCGGUAAUACGUAGGGGGCAAGCGUUAUCCGGAUUUACUGGGUGUAAAGGGAGCGUAGACGGCGAAGCAAGUCUGAAGUGAAAACCC
rnacentral:rRNA from 1 species